UCCGUAGGUGAACCUGCGGAGGGAUCAUUAA
rnacentral:rRNA from 4 species